rnacentral:rRNA from 1 species
GACAGGGGGUGCAAACGUUUGUUCGGAUUUACUGGGCGUAAAGCGCGUGUAGGCGGCUUUGCAAGUCGGAUGUGAAAGCCCACGGCUCAACCGUGGAAGUGCAUCCGAAACUGCAUGGCUUGAGUCUCGGAGAGGAAGGUGGAAUGCUUGGUGUAGAGGUGAAAUUCGUAGAUAUCGGGAGGAACACCAGUGGCGAAGGCGACUACCUGGCCUGUUCUUGACGCUGAGGCGCGAAAGCUAGGGGAGCAAACGGGG